AAAUGAAGAAGCCUUGGUGAGUCAGGAGGCAGCAAGGCAAAGAGGUUCAAACACUCGUGCUCUGGAAUCACCCAGAUCUGAAUUCUAAUCCCUGUCCCUGCCACAUACUCGGUGAGAUCCCAGGCAAGUUUCUUACUUCUCUGACCCUCGUUUUCACCUGCGGAAAAUGGGCAUAAUGGAUCCAUUUUAUUGGUUUGUUGUGAGGAUGAAAUGAAGUGAUAUCCACAGAGAACCAGGCCCACUCCCACUAAUAGGGAGUUAGUGUUAUGGAGGAGCUAUAAGCCUCACUUUCUUCAUCUCUAAACCACGUAUAAGAGUAGGAUUUAGCUGAGGGAGGGGAUUAAAUGAGAUAAUAAAUGAAGAGUGGUUGACAUGCUGUUAGUAAAAGUGAACUGUUAAUACUAUGAACACUCCCCCCUGUUUCACUUCUGGUCACAACCGAUAGUUCCCUCCUCCUAUUGCUUUCUCCCUGAGCCCUGUUCCAGUUGGAAGAAGGAAAUGAUCCUUCGUGUCAUUUUGGACAGAGGAUGCACAGAAAGAACAAUGACUCCUGGAGAAAAGCACGUGGGGAGAGGAGGAGAUCCAGGGUCUCCCUCCUCCCGGAGACCUGCCUCUCUGUCCUGCCUGCCACACUCACACCCAGGGUUUUCCUGCUCCUGGACAAAGCUCUGCCCUAGGGCUCAUGUUAGAGACUCCAGUAAUCCCAAGAGAUCAGUUUGAAUCCUCCCCACCUUUCAGGAUGAGUGGCAGGGUGAAGCCAAGUGCUUGCCAGCCAGAGAGAAAGAAAUGGAAGUUCCCCUUUUUGUGUGUGUCUCUCUCCCCCUCCCUUUUGCGGGGGAGCUGAAUGUGCUCCUCUGGAGGGAAGGAGGGAAGCCAGGGCUGGCUCUAAUGAGAUUUUGCCUAGAUGAAGCUGGCAGCUGGGAACCGCUUUCCCUCAGCUUGCCCUCUGCCGGGGAAACUCCAUGACGGAGACAAGGCAGCUGGCAGGGAGAAGCCUCCGGAUUGAGGAUGCCGGGGCUGCCGCAGUGCCAGGAGGGCUGCACAGGCCCACGUGGGCCCAGAGGCAGAUGCGGAUGCCGCCUCUCCUUCCUGAGGACGCCCUAAAAAGGUUCUUUUUGCCUUUGCCAGCUGGUCCAGGAGGUCACCUAUGCUCGGAGGGAGACGGAGAAGAGCAGCAGCAGGGACAGCAGCAAACCUGCACAUCGGAUGGAGCCACUAUCCCCGUUUCACCUACCAGAGGAGGACAUGAAGGUUUGGGGAAGGCUUCCCACGUGCCGGGGUGGCUGGGAAGAGGCUAAAGGGACACAGACAGCUGGAGUCUGGGAAAACCGCCUCUGCCCACAGCCUACAACGUGAGGCGCCUCGGCCACAUCCUCUGCUUCGUCCCCACCGCCCUGGGGAGAGGGCCCGAGGCUCAGAGACGACAGCGUUACCCCAAGGUUUCACGUGUUGCCCUACUUUUCGCCCCCACCCCGAACACAGCGCGCCCUUGCCGGAGACCCCCGGCCCAGGGCUGAAGGCCGGACUCCCAGGCGCGGGGCCGAGCCUGCAGCAACUCGCCUCGCCGCUCCUCCCCUGGCAUUUGGCAAGUUGGGCCUCCGUAACACCUAACCGCUUCUGUUUUUCUCUCCCUCCCUCCUUGCUGUUUCCCGCUCCUCCCUGCCUUUAGCCCAGCUGUCCCCUCUGCCUAGAAUGUCCUUCCCAACCAUUCUGCUGGAACGAACCGCUUCCCAUCCUUUCCUGGGUUCCGACUUCCGCCCUUUGGAAAUCCUUCCCUCCCUCCCCCACCCGUAAACCAACAGACCUCUGCGCUUAACAGCUUCGGACCUCGUUUAUUUAUUGGGACUGCCAUUUGGGCUUACCCGUAUUUGCAUUCCUAGUUACCGCCUCAGUAAAUAAUAGCUAUUAUUAAUAUAAUAUCCGGGUGAGGGGAAAGGACCUGUUUUCAGGCCUUCCACAGUCCCUUUUCACCUUGGACAGGCGUCUUUGACUUUAGGUCUGGGCCGCAGCCUGUCCGUCUGCUGUGGCACCAUGUGGUCUGAAGGCUCAUGAGCCCCAGAACCCUACUGGAGUAGUUUGACUGGGGGGGGGUAGAAUUGGAGGAGUGGGAUGGGUGGAGCCACAGCCGGGACAGGUGUACACACCGAGUGGGGAUGGGGGCGAGUGUCUGCUGGUUGCUCCCACCGCCCCUUGCUCAGCCUGACGGCUCUGGUUUAUCCACCCCUGCAAGAACCAGCAAGCUCCCACAGGCCCUCCCGGCAUGGCUUCCAGAGACUUAAACCUGGCUCAGCCAUGUGCCUACCCUACCUACUCUGCCAUGAAAAAGGUCUAAGAGAGGGAGCCAACCCCAGCAGAGGUGGAACCAGCAGCAGUUCCUGAACCCCCAGCCCCAGCCGGAACAGCUGUGUUACAGCAGCGCAGCUGACAUCAAAGUCCAGGCUUUAUGCUGGGGAGCAGACAAGAAAGACCCUCUGUGUCCAGCUGGACCAACCUGGGAGCCUGUGAUUGUUCUGUCUCAGAUUGGGAGACAGCUUCAGCUGUUCAGGUGCCUUUCAUCUUCAGUGGUAGAGCUGUGAUAGGAAUCGGUGACUGACCAGAGUAGCCCUGCACCAUGGCAUGAAGCUGCCUUCACGUGGGCAUCCAGGCUGUCGCUGCCGAGCAGCCAGGUGGCAGGAUAUCUGCAUCUUUGCCUUCACCUCAGAAGAUCCUUGCCUCCUGCUUGGAGCCUUUCUGGUUUCCACUUUCUUCCCCGGGUCUCAUGGCUUCCCUGAAAAUGGGGAUGCCCUCUGGUUUUCCUUUGGGUGGGGUUGGAGAGCCAGCAGAAGGGGCUUAGCUCAGGCAGGGUAUCUCAGCAGAGUGGGAGAGGGAGCUGGCAGUCAGAGAAACCUAGAUGGGGGCUAAUUUGGGAGCCCAGGGAGAAGGCUGGAGAAGCAAGUUAAUCUACACAUUGAAGCCAACCCUGACUCACAGAGAAGUGACUUCAAAACAGCUUUCAUAACCUCUCCUGGAUGCUGGCCACCUUUACCCUCCCAGCUCUGUCUUUGGCUUCAGGCCACACACUCCCUCUGAUCCUUCCUUUUCUCAUCCAUGACGCUGGAGAGAAUAGGGCUUAGAUGAAGAAUAACAAGAUCAUCCGAGUGUUGAGAGCACUGACUUUGGCCCUGUAACCUCAGGUGUUCACAUCAGUUCUGCUAAUUUGCUGCAUGAGCCUAUGGGUCAUUAUGCUGCUCCCUGGGCUCAGCUUUCGUCUCUCUUCCAUGAGAGAGGAUUGGAAUAGAUAAGGUCCACAGGCCUUUCAAAUGCUACUUAAGAAGUCAAAGUAUUGGGGUACUGUGGUGAAGAGCUAUAUAAGGAUGUGGCUGCAGACAGAGGACUAGAGUCUAAUGAGACUCUUGUCCUGUCUGAGAAUCGGCUUGAAGUUCCCAGGUAUAGCUUUGCCUUCUUCUGGCCACCUCCAGGGCUACUCACCUAGCUAUGGCUCAAGGACACCCAAUGAAACCCUCGUUCUUCAUACUGCUUCACCUCACCUAGCACCAGACCAGCAGUUUCUCUCCUGGCCCUACCUCUGCUUCCUUCCUUCUAGCCUGGCCCAAACUCCCAGGCCUCAGCCCCUAGGCCCACUGGUUGACUCAGUAGAGAUUUCUCCUGAACCGCAUACUCUGCAGAACAAACUCUUCUAAUUGCUCAUCAGUGAGUCAAAUCCAAAUUCUGAGUAAAAAUCAAACUUGAAUAAAGAAUCAAAGUUUUA